UAGCAUAUCAAUAAGCGGAGGAAAAGAAACCAACAGGGAUUGCCUCAGUAACGGCGAGUGAAGCGGCAACAGCUCAAAUUUGAAAUCUGGCGCACGCCCGAGUUGUAAUUUGCAGAGGAUGCUUCGGGGCAGCGGCCGGUCUAAGUCCCUUGGAACAGGGCGUCAGAGAGGGUGAGAAUCCCGUAUGCGACCGGCGCGCACCCCCCACGUAGCUCCUUCGACGAGUCGAGUUGUUUGGGAAUGCAGCUCUAAAUGGGAGGUAAAUUUCUUCUAAGGCUAAAUACCGGCCAGAGACCGAUAGCGCACAAGUAGAGUGAUCGAAAGAUGAAAAGCACUUUGGAAAGAGAGUUAAAAAGCACGUGAAAUUGUUGAAAGGGAAGCGCCCGCCCCCAGACUUCGCGGCGGUGUUCCGCCGGGCUUCUGCCCGGUCCACUCGCCGCCGCGAGGCCAUCAUCGUCUGGGCCCGUCGGAGAAGACCUCGGGAAUGUAGCUCCCCCUCGGGGGAGUGUUAUAGCCCGUGGUGAUGCGACGCGGCCCGGGCGAGGUCCGCGCCCCGGCAAGGAUGAUGGCGUAAUGGGGGUCGGCGGCCCGUCUUGAAACACGGACCAAGGAGUCUAACAUCUAUGCGAGUGUUCGGGUGUCAAACCCCUACGCGGAAUGAAAGUGAACGGAGGUGGGAACCGCAAGGUGCACCAUCGACCGAUCCUGAUGUCCUCGGAUGGAUUUGAGUAAGAGCAUAGCUGUUGGGACCCGAAAGAUGGUGAACUAUGCCUGAAUAGGGUGAAGCCAGAGGAAACUCUGGUGGAGGCUCGCAGCGGUUCUGACGUGCAAAUCGAUCGUCAAAUUUGGGUAUAGGGGCGAAAGACUAAUCGAACCAUCUAGUAGCUGGUUCCUGCGA
rnacentral:rRNA from 1 species